GACGCAACAUCUAAAUCAUAUAUGAACUCGAUGCGGUUCAAAAUAAAAAGUAGUGGAUGAUGUCAAAAGUUUUUAAAAAAGGCCAACUGGUCCCUUCCUGCCACGAUUUCUCAAAACGGAUGCGUCUUUUACUGUGUGGUCAAAGGCAAAUAUUUAGAAACAAGGAUCUUAUGACGUUCAAGGGCGUUUCACUUUUCUCGUCUUCCUUUCGCUCGGAUCGCCUUCCAUAACUUUGACAACUGUGGCCAUUCUAGACGUCAAAAGUCUUUGGGUAGUCGUCGCAAACGCAGCACAAUUUGUUCGUAGUCAAAAAGAUGCGUCUCUUCAGUCUGUUCUUCACGUUGUUGAUUCUUUUGGCGGCUUGCACUGGUUCGGCGAUUAAGAAAAACGUUUUAGACAAAAUUCCAGGUGCUGGAACUGACGAAAUGCAAAUCGGAGUUGCACCGGAUCGCAAAUGUCCUCCGCCAAAGCAAAUGGAUCCACAGGGAAACUGUCGCCAACCUUGGGGCCGCUGAAAAUGUUGAGUUUUGAAUUUCAAAAUGGAUUGGAUGACAAUAUUGGAGUCGCUUCACCUACUACCCAGUUAUGUUUACCGAGCACUGAAUACUAUCCAAUAUUCUAACCCCAUACUCUUACUCGUCGGAAUAUUGUCUGAAAUAUAACGAAAGUUUAUUA